rnacentral:rRNA from 1 species
GAUGAACGCUGACAGAAUGCUUAACACAUGCAAGUCAACUUGAACUUCGGUUUGGGUGGCGGACGGGUGAGUAACGCGUAAAGAACUUGCCUCACAGAUAGGGACAACAUUUGGAAACGAAUGCUAAUACCUGAUAUUAUGAUUUUAGGGCAUCCUAGGAUUAUGAAAGCUAUAUGCGCUGUGAGAGAGCUUUGCGUCCCAUUAGCUAGUUGGAGAGGUAACGGCUCACCAAGGCGAUGAUGGGUAGCCGGCCUGAGAGGGUGAUCGGCCACAAGGGGACUGAGACACGGCCCUUACUCCUACGGGAGGCAGCAGUGGGGAAUAUUGGACAAUGGACCAAGAGUCUGAUCCAGCAAUUCUGUGUGCACGAUGAAGUUUUUCGGAAUGUAAAGUGCUUUCAGUUGGGAAGAAAAAAAUGACGGUACCAACAGAAGAAGGGACGGCUAAAUACGU